GCUACUAACAAAGCAAAUUAAUGUUGGAUUGGAGCAAGUACUCAACUAGGGGGAUUAAAGAAGAACUACCAGGGAGAGGAGACUAAUGACUUUUAUGAUUCGACUGGUUGCUGAACCUUAAAUAAAGGAUCAUGAGGGCCUUUGGAAGAACAUACCUGAGGAACACCUAAAACGAUCACCACACCCUUCUUCUGAUGGGCAUCCUCUUGUAGGAACACAUGGGCGAGUUUCAAAUGAACUACCUGAACAUGGAUGUCCUCCAUAUUGUCCAUAAACUGCUAUGGUUCGUCUACGAAUCUAAAUUCAAAAGCAAUUAUUUAGCCGUAGAAAUAGAAUAUUAGUUUUCUGUUAAGGGACACACUCUUCUUUCAGUGUUUUUCUUUCUAUCUAUCUUCCUCAUUGCUGAGGAGACUACAGUAGACCCUUGGUAUCCGCUGUGGUUUGGUUCCAAGACCUGCCAUGGAUACCAAAAUCCAUGGAUGCUCAAUCUCCAUUAUGGACAAUGACAUAGUAAAAUGGUAUCCCGUGUAUAAAGUGGCAAAAACAA